rnacentral:rRNA from 1 species
UAUAUUGAGAGUUUGAUCCUGGCUCAGGAUUAAUGCUGGCGGCGUGCCUUAGGCAUGCAAAUCAAGGGGGCUCCGCAAGGAGCAACCGGUGGACGGGUGAGUAAUACGUGAGAAUCUACCUCGAAGUGGGACAUAGCCUCUCGAAAGAGGGGGUAAUUUCCCAUGUGAACGUAAGUUUAAAGCCGCAAGGCGCUUUGAGAUGAGCUCGCGUCCUAUCAGCUUGUUGGUGGGGUAAUGGCCUACCAAGGCAACGACGGGUAGCUGGACUGAGAGGUCGGUCAGCCACAAUGGCACUGCGACACGGGCCAUACACCUACGGGUGGCAGCAACCGGGAAUAUUCGGCAAUGGGCGAAAGCCUGACCGAGCGACGCCGCGUGGAGGAUGAAGGCC